rnacentral:ncRNA from 1 species
UUACAGGCGAUGACGGAGAAGAGUACCGGCAGAAGGUCUUCAGAGAGCUCGGAUUGGGUGUGAACCGAGUGGCGGACUGUUCGGGAAUGGACUUCCGAGCCGCAAUCCGAACAACGGUUUUCAGAUGUUAAGUAGGCAUUGCCGUAUCCGUACGUUAAAACGGUACUGAUUCUGGUCAAGGAUCAGUUAAGAUGUUUCUGCAAUGCAGAAAAAUUAGGGUGGCACCGCGGUCUAUUCGUCCCUUGU